GACGAACGCUGGCCGCGUGCUUAACACAUGCAAGUCGAACGAUGAACCCGGAGCUUGCUCCGGCGGAUUAGUGGCGAACGGGUGAGUAACACGUGAGUAACCUGCCCUUGACUCUGGGAUAACUGCUAGAAAUGGUAGCUAAUACCGGAUACGACCCUCGGUGGCAUCACCAGGGGGUGGAAAGAAUUUCGGUCAAGGAUGGACUCGCGGCCUAUCAGCUAGUUGGUGAGGUAACGGCUCACCAAGGCGACGACGGGUAGCCGGCCUGCGAGGGUGACCGGCCACGCAGGGACUGAGAGACGACCCGAACUCCAACGGGAGGCAGCAGUGGGGAAUAUUGCAGAAGGGGCGCAAGCCUGAUGCAGCAACGCCGCGUGAGGGAUGACGGCCUUCGGGUUGUAAACCUCUUUUAGUAGGGAAGAAGCGAAAGUGACGGUACGUGCAGAAAAAGCACCGGCUAACUACGUGCCAGCAGCCGCCGUAAGAC
rnacentral:rRNA from 1 species